CAUUAGUUUUAGGCUCGCAUACAAUAGGGGUAUUCGCUUGCUUUUGCAAGAUUGCAGAUGGCAAAAAUGCUAUACCGAAAUAUACAAGGGCACGAGAGCACCCAUUGCAGAAUCUAGUGAUAUAUGAACGGCUGAUUCGUUCAAUUUAUUGUGAAUGACUAUUAUGCAUGGCUAUUGUGAAUUGGAGCACCUUCUGCAUAAAUUGUUAACAAAAAAACUGUAACAAAUCAUUAUAAUUUAAAUAGAAAUUAUAAAAUCUAUUUGUAACUAAAAUAAAAUAAUUAGGGUAAAAUUUAGAAUAGCAUCCCCGGAUUUCGGGGAUAAAAUGGGUAUCAGUGGAAAGGUGGCGUUCUCCAGAUCACGAAAAUAUAUACAUUUAGUUGCCGCUGACUUAUAGUUUUAAAGAUAUUUGCAUUUAAAGUUGAAAAAUUGACAACUUUUACAUUGAUAAUUUGUGUAUUGUGAGUAACUUUUUCACUUAUAUUGUGCACUUUUCACUUACUAACACUUCACUAUAACGUUUCGGUAUAUUCAUUUUUUUAAUAUUUGUUGUAAAUAAAGCUUUAUUUUAAUUAUUUUAUUUUAGUUACAAUUCUCUGCAUUUGCACAAUAAGAAAA